CACGCCGUAAACGAUGGAUACUAAGUGUCGGGAUAGAAUCUCGGUGCUGUAGUUAACGCAAUAAGUAUCCCGCCUGGGGAGUAUGCGCGCAAGCGUAAAACUCAAAGGAAUUGACGGGGACCCGCACAAGCGGUGGAGUAUGUGGUUUAAUUCGAUGCAACGCGAAGAACCUUACCUGGUCUUGACAUACCACGCAAAAGCUUAGAGAUAAGUAAUAGGUAUGGUGGAUACAGGUGG
rnacentral:rRNA from 1 species